GGCAGUGUAGCUUAAGGGAUAAAGCGCCCGUCUUCCAAACGGGAAAUAGGCUGUUUGAGUCAGCCCGCUGCCA
rnacentral:tRNA from 1 species